UACAGAGGGUGCAAGCGUUGUUCGGAAUUAUUGGGCGUAAAGCGCGUGUAGGCGGCUUUGCAAGUCGGGUGUGAAAGCCCUCAGCUUAACUGAGGAAGUGCGCCCGAAACUGCAGAGCUUGAGUACCGGAGAGGAUGGUGGAAUUCCCGGUGUAGAGGUGAAAUUCGUAGAUAUCGGGAGGAACACCGGUGGCGAAGGCGGCGACCUGGGACAAUACUGACGCUGAGGUGCGAAAGCGUGGGGAGCAAACAGG
rnacentral:rRNA from 1 species